UAUACACUCCAGAUCACAGACGGACGUCCGCAUCAUGCGGACGGUCUGUGAACCGGAGUGAUUUGCUAAUAAACCGGAGUGAACCGGGUUCCAGUUCAACAAUAUAAAUCUUAUUUCGAUCUCCUCCUCUUCUAUAACCUUCCCCAAUCUUCAUCACACUUCCGCGUGGAACCGGACAGAGGACUACGAUUCCGGACAUAGCUGACUGGAAUCUCCCCUUCCUGUCUACUGGCUUGAUGAAGUCGAGGGCAUUAGUGGUACCCUCCGGCAGUAUAGGGGUUGGCUUUAGAAGAGAGGCGAAGAAUCGGGAGUUCGCCCAGUUGGUGGCCUUUGUUCUUCAACCUGCGGGACUCCUCCUCCCUUCUCUGCGCAUCAAUUAAUUUCCGAUCCUCCUUAGUGGCUUUCCCUUCCCUAAAUCUCCUCCUCCUCUCCAAUUCUGUUUGAUCAGUUGUUGCCCCAAUCACCCUAUCAUCAACCAUUUUUGCGCGAAUAAUAAAUCCCGACCUCGCAUUCCUCUGCCUCUGUAAGAUAUCCAAGUCAUCAUUCUCAGCCGCGCCUCUUCUGACCCUGUCCCUCCUCGCCAGCUCCAAUGGGUCGUUCGUUGGUGCCAGAAGCUCCAAUGUGAUUGCAUAGCUGACUGGUCCACGGACGGCCGUCUGCGGAAUGGAACUACGAUUCCGCGGACUCCUCGGAAUGGAAAUCGCGUUCCGAUCGCGUUACGAUUCCGCAAGACGGACCGUUUGAAAAACCGGCCGUCCCAGAAACGAUCGAUGGGUUCCUGGAACGAUGGGUUCCUGGAACGAUGGGUUCCUAAUCUCCGAUCGCAGUUCCUAAUCUCCAGUUCCUGGAACGAUGGGUUCCUGGAACGAUGGGUUUUCCUAAUCUCCGAUCGCAGUUCCUAAUCUCCAGUUCCAUGGCAUCCAUGGCAUCCGGUAUUGAACGGACGGCCGGAUCGGUAUUGAACGGAAACAGUGGAUCGGUAUUGAACGGA
rnacentral:lncRNA from 1 species